ensembl:lncRNA
CAGGAUUCUACAAGUAAAGUCUGUGUUAAGGAUUCUUGAGUAGCCUUUGGAACAGAAUAGGCAUAGUCCUUGUUCUCAAGUGUUUGAGGAGAGAAGAGCAUGGUGAUUUUGAAGUUAGGUUUCUCCCAAUUUAGGGCCACAGAAAUGUUGCCCUUUGCAAUAACAGCACCUGUGCCUGAAAUGAUCUCAACUGCAUGGAUCCAAUUAUUUGAAAAUUGUGAUAACUCACAGGCACAUCUCAGCACUCUUCCCUUUCUUUGGCAAAAGGUUAGAAAGCUGACCAGGGGAAGAGGAGCCCAGACUCUGGGCUUCCUUGAGGUGCAUUCAGUGGAAAGAGAAAAGCAGCCUCCAGGGGACCUCAAGGAGCAGCCCUGAGCAUUUCUUCCUAGACACUGUCUAGCUAACUGGAUGGUCCUAUUUGGGAUUCUGCUGAAAUUAUCUCUGUGCAGAGGAAGAGUUAUCUCACCACCCACAGCAGCUCCCUCCUCUACCCAAAGGAAUAGAUUCCGGGAGAGAAUGUUUCCAGGACUACUUUGGGAAGUCCAGGGCCAGCGAUGGUCUUCUAGGUGCAGGAGCUUCUCCUUUCAGCCAUGACUAAUGAAUACAGUGUUGUUUAGAGACACAGUUAUCCAUCGUCUCUGAUCUCCUUGGCUGGAGUAAGUUCAGUAAUAAUUCUUAAUCAUUGGGAGUAAUUUUCAGAGUUCAUGAUUCUUUUCUCUCACUGCUCUUCUUUAGAUUCAAAUAGCGAGUCUUGGCUCCCUAUGUCAAAUUCUGUGCAACACACAUCUAUUUCCUCAGUGAAUUUUUGUGACGACCUCAUUCGUCUGUGUUACAAAUGGUGAGACUCAGGGGAAAUCAGAAGUAGAGGAAGACACACUCAAGCCCCCUGAUUCCGGUUCAACAGGGGCCCCUCUGGCUGUAGCUCUCUCCUCUGUACAUGUGCACACAGCACUGAACGACACCCUGUGGAGAGUAAUGUAGAAUGCAAGGGGCAGGUAGCACUCAGAGAAGAUCCCAGUCUCAUUGGGCCACUGGUUACAAAAGAACCCUAAGGUUGAAGGCAUUGAAUGUACAUGAUGUAGGUAUUAAACGUGGGUUCAGACAAGAAGGUGAGUCCGUCAGGUUUUGGCUUCUUCUCCUCAAAAGCAACUCUGAAAAGGCCACAGGAGUACAAACAGG